rnacentral:rRNA from 1 species
UACGUAGGAGGCAAGCGUUGUCCGGAAUCAUUGGGCGUAAAGGGCUCGUAGGCGGUUUGUCGCGUCGGGAGUGAAAUCCACUGGCUUAACUGGUGGCUUGCUUUCGAUACGGGCAGACUGGAGGUAUGCAGGGGAGAACGGAAUUCCUGGUGUAGCGGUGAAAUGCGCAGAUAUCAGGAGGAACACCGGUGGCGAAGGCGGUUCUCUGGGCAUGUCCUGACGCUGAGGAGCGAAAGUGUGGGGAGCGAACAGG